GGGCCUAUAGUCUAGUGGAUAGGACAGCUGGCUUCGGACCAGCAAACCAGGGUUCGAAUCCCUGUAGGCCCA
rnacentral:tRNA from 1 species